rnacentral:rRNA from 1 species
GACGAACGCUGGCGGCGUGCUUAACACAUGCAAGUCGAACGGAAAGGCCUGCUUUCCCUUGUGGUUUGCGGGUACUCGAGUGGCGAACGGGUGAGUAACACGUGAGUGAUCUGCCCCCAACUUGGGUAUAAGCCUGGGAAACUGGGUCUAAUUCCCGAUAGGACUGCAGGGUUGUGCCUGUGGUGGAAGACGUUCUUCUAGUGGUUGGGGAUGAGCUCGCGGCUUAUCAGCUUGUUGGGGGGGUAAUGGCCUACCAAGGCGGCGACGGGUAGCCGGCCUGGGAGCGUGGACGGCCACAUUGGGACUGGGUUACGGCUCAGACGGCUGCGGGAGGCAGGAGUGGGGAAUAAUGCGGAAUGGGCGGAAGGGUGAUGCAGCGACGGCGCGAGGGGGAUGUCGGGCUUGGGGUUGUAAACUCCUUGCGACCGCGAGGAAGCCACCUAGUUGGAAGGGUGGUGACGGUAGUGGUAGAAGAAGCACCGGCUAACUACGUG